rnacentral:lncRNA from 1 species
UCAAACAACAAUAGUCAAGUACAACCCAUAACCCUAGAAUAAUGAGGUUCUUAGCCACUCAUGUUCAUGACAAUAAUUAAUAUGUUAUUUUUAAACAUAAAAUCUAUGAAUACUAGAUGAAAGAUGGAAGAAUUGAUGAAUUUCGUGCUUCAUUUGUGUUUCUAUGCCUUUGCCGCCCUCAAAAUUGACCACCACUAAUCACAUUUAGAGGGUAUUUAUAGGUUAGGGCUGGAAUCCCCAAGUCCAAAAUCAAGUAGAGAAUGUUCAAUGCGCUGAGUGGGAAAGUCUGUAGCAUCUCCUGGAGCUCGCCUCGCCUAGGCUACUGCGCGUUGCAUCUCGCUUGGGACUAGGCGUUGCCUGGCUUGGCGCCUGGUUCUGGGCCUUGUCCAAUUUUUGCCUUUUCGUGCUCUUUUUUAUGUAUCUUUGACAUUCUUGGGUGCAACCUUCAUGCGUUUUCAUCCUUCAACGAUCCUACACAUAAAAAUGACAUAAUUAAGCUCAAACGUCACAUAAUCAAUCAUUAAAACACUAAAAUGUAAGGUGAUCAAUGCACUAAAAAUAUACAUUUAUAGCCAAACAUCAAAAAUCAAUACCCCCAUGCGCAUCGUCAUACCCCAUUGUGCUUGCUCCGAUGUGGUCGUUGAAAAUUUUCUCCUAUGAAUAACUUUUCGGUGUGUGGAAUACUAAGAACGACCUCGUCCAAAUCAUCCCAGAAAUGCCUUUUUACCACCCCAUAGAAGCCCCAUUGAGGUGCGUUUUCACUUACUACAUUACAUGAAAGCCCUCCAAUAACUAGCUUAAUAACCAUAAACCUAUUGCUCACCCUCCCAACCUCUACCACUUUCUCUCUAAGUUCCUCCCUACCAAAAUGCCUACUCCAUUCUUACCCCUCAAGCCUCCCGAGUACCACAACUUAAAUCCGUUUACAUCACGCGCUUUAGUUCCCACCCAUCUAGUUUCCCGGACACAAACAAUGUUGAUCUUCCUCUUUGCGAGAAUCUUCUCUAACUUUAAAAAUUGUUCUGUUAAAGUUCUUAUGUUCCAAGACCCAACUCUCAACCUAGAGGGUCCCUUGCCCCUAUUACCACCCUUGCCCCUGCCCGCUCCCAUCCGCUCCACCUCCCGUCCCACCCAAGAACAUGACCUACUUUACCAUCAUUCACCAAUGCCUCUAUAAACUAUAAACUAUGAUAUACUAAGCUAAACUAUAACAAGUAGCGAAUCUAAAGUAAAUAAAUGAAAGCUGAUACAAAUCAAAUCAACUUAUUAAAUAUAAAGACAGGCAAGCAAACAUGAACAAGAGGAACAUAUAUAACAAAUCAAGAGAGAUAAUAUGCUAGAACUAAGAGUGGCUAAUUAAACUAACACAAGGAAGAGGAGUGUCAUGCCCCAAAACCUUGGUGAGGCGGACCGGCAAUCGGUGCCUUAACUUGAUCAAGUGAACCCUGCUCUAUGAAUCUGAAAAAAUUAUGAAAACAUCUGAAAGGAAAACAUAUAAUAUGUGAUUUUCAUUAAAAAAUUUCUGAUAAUAAAACCGCGAAAUCUUUUUCCUUUAAAACACAAGCUUUGCAAAAGCUAAGUAAAGCUGAGCCCAAAAUAUAACUGAGGACAUAGCAUGGGUGACUUUUGUUUAUGAAAACUCUAAGAUCAUCUAUAACUAUAAAAAUGGUGGGACAGGGCCUGACCUACCCAGACAAUUGUACACCAAAAAGGAACUAGACUCGGCCUCAGAUAACAAUCUGCAGUUGACUAUAGAAAUUGAUAUCUAGCUGGAGGGUCUGCUGCUCCGAACGGCUUGAGUCUCAACCUUUAGCUCGACUACAAAGAAUCGAUCCGUCUGUUAUAAGCUUCAAUCUUGGCUGCCGAACCCUAUAACUUUCUUCACUUCAUUCUCCCGGAAGAGCCCUUUCGAUUUGCUUGAAGAUAUUUGAUGAUAGAAAGAAAAACUUGAGAGGGAAGCUUAGUUC